rnacentral:lncRNA from 1 species
UGACAUGGUACCAGAGACUUUAAUGACCAAGAGGUCUUGUUUCGAACUCUCUUAACCCACAAUCCGUGCACAUGACUGAUUGAAGCAUUGCAAAUCUGAACUCUUCUCAGAACUGCCGUUUGAUAAGGCUAAGGCGUGUCAAUGAAUAAUAUAAAAUCCAAUCUAAACCAUCUGCCAACAACCCUGAAUUAUUGGGAUGCAACAAUUUAUGAAAUAGAUUAGCUACCAACCAAAAUUGAAAAAAGCUAAACACAACCAAUUCCAAAUCAGAAUAACAAGUAUGCAACUGCACUUGAAGAUCAGCAACACAUCAAAACCGCCAGGAGAAUUUACUCUUCAUGAAACAGCACUCCCAUAACCUUAACAAGAACUAUGAGUUAAGAGCCAUUUAUUUGUAACCCAAUAUUAACAACACUACACACCAUCAAUAACUGUAGACCAGUCCAGCGCAAACAUGCAAUGAGAAUAAGUAAUUUAGAAUAAAAGAGUAAGGUAGUCGGAGCCUCACCGGAAUCCUUCGGAUCGAGCGGAUGGAAAGGGAGAGAUUAGGGUUCCGGAACUACGGUAGGGUAUGUCUUCCGGAUGCCGGCGAAGAGUGAAAAGUGUCAGAUUUCCAAGUGCCUUGAUCCUUGAAGCAGGCCAGUCACGUUGAAGUCAAUUGAAAUUUGACUGGCCUAAAUCUUCGGUUGAAUCUUUAAAUACAGGAUCCGGAUGGUCAGUGGCUCGGCUUAAAUGGGGAUGUGAGAAUUGAGAUUAUCGAACAUUAGGAAGAAAAUCGGAAAUUUAAUUUUGGAAAUUCACUUAUAAGUUUCGCUUCGUAAAGCGGUUAGUAAUUAGGUAUUUGAGCGGAGGUCCUUUGGCAGUAGUAAAAGUUAAACAAUGCACGAUGAAAGUCCUCGACAGUG